AGACCCGAAACCCGGUGAUCUAGCCAUGGGCAGGUUGAAGGUUGGGUAACACUAACUGGAGGACCGAACCGACUAAUGUUGAAAAAUUAGCGGAUGACCUGUGGCUGGGGGUGAAAGGCCAAUCAAACCGGGAGAUAGCUGGUUCUCCCCGAAAGCUAUUUAGGUAGCGCCUCGUGAAUUCAUCUCCGGGGGUAGAGCACUGUUUCGGCUAGGGGGCCAUCCCGGCUUACCAACCCGAUGCAAACUGCGAAUACCGGAGAAUGUUAUCACGGGAGACACACGGCGGGUGCUAACGUCCGUCGUGAAGAGGGAAACAACCCAGACCGCCAGCUAAGGUCCCAAAGUCAUGGUUAAGUGGGAAACGAUGUGGGAAGGCCCAGACAGCCAGGAUGUUGGCUUAGAAGCAGCCAUCAUUUAAAGAAAGCGUAAUAGCUCACUGGUCGAGUCGGCCUGCGCGGAAGAUGUAACGGGGCUAAACCAUGCACCGAAGCUGCGGCAGCGACGCUUAUGCGUUGUUGGGUAGGGGAGCGUUCUGUAAGCCUGUGAAGGUGGCCUGUGAGGGUUGCUGGAGGUAUCAGAAGUGCGAAUGCUGACAUAAGUAACGAUAAAGCGGGUGAAAAGCCCGCUCGCCGGAAGACCAAGGGUUCCUGUCCAACGUUAAUCGGGGCAGGGUGAGUCGACCCCUAAGGCGAGGCCGAAAGGCGUAGUCGAUGGGAAACGGGUUAAUAUUCCCGUACUUGGUGUUACUGCGAAGGGGGGACGGAGAAGGCUAUGUUGGCCGGGCGACGGUUGUCCCGGUUUAAGCGUGUAGGUGUGUGUUCCAGGUAAAUCCGGUUCACUUUAACACUGAGGCGUGACGACGAGGCACUACGGUGCUGAAGCAACAAAUGCCCUGCUUCCAGGAAAAGCCUCUAAGCAUCAGGUAACAUCAAAUCGUACCCCAAACCGACACAGGUGGUCAGGUAGAGAAUACCAAGGCGCUUGAGAGAACUCGGGUGAAGGAACUAGGCAAAAUGGUGCCGUAACUUCGGGAGAAGGCACGCUGACACGUAGGUGAAGUGAUUUACUCACGGAGCUGAAGUCAGUCGAAGAUACCAGCUGGCUGCAACUGUUUAUUAAAAACACAGCACUGUGCAAACACGAAAGUGGACGUAUACGGUGUGACGCCUGCCCGGUGCCGGAAGGUUAAUUGAUGGGGUCAGCGCAAGCGAAGCUCCUGAUCGAAGCCCCGGUAAACGGCGGCCGUAACUAUAACGGUCCUAAGGUAGCGAAAUUCCUUGUCGGGUAAGUUCCGACCUGCACGAAUGGCGUAAUGAUGGCCAGGCUGUCUCCACCCGAGACUCAGUGAAAUUGAACUCGCUGUGAAGAUGCAGUGUACCCGCGGCAAGACGGAAAGACCCCGUGAACCUUUACUAUAGCUUGACACUGAACAUUGAGCCUUGAUGUGUAGGAUAGGUGGGAGGCUUUGAAGUGUGGACGCCAGUCUGCAUGGAGCCGACCUUGAAAUACCACCCUUUAAUGUUUGAUGUUCUAACGUGGACCCGUAAUCCGGGUUGCGGACAGUGUCUGGUGGGUAGUUUGACUGGGGCGGUCUCCUCCUAAAGAGUAACGGAGGAGCACGAAGGUUGGCUAAUCCUGGUCGGACAUCAGGAGGUUAGUGCAAUGGCAUAAGCCAGCUUGACUGCGAGCGUGACGGCGCGAGCAGGUGCGAAAGCAGGUCAUAGUGAUCCGGUGGUUCUGAAUGGAAGGGCCAUCGCUCAACGGAUAAAAGGUACUCCGGGGAUAACAGGCUGAUACCGCCCAAGAGUUCAUAUCGACGGCGGUGUUUGGCACCUCGAUGUCGGCUCAUCACAUCCUGGGGCUGAAGUAGGUCCCAAGGGUAUGGCUGUUCGCCAUUUAAAGUGGUACGCGAGCUGGGUUUAGAACGUCGUGAGACAGUUCGGUCCCUAUCUGCCGUGGGCGCUGGAGAACUGAGGGGGGCUGCUCCUAGUACGAGAGGACCGGAGUGGACGCAUCACUGGUGUUCGGGUUGUCAUGCCAAUGGCACUGCCCGGUAGCUAAAUGCGGAAGAGAUAAGUGCUGAAAGCAUCUAAGCACG
rnacentral:rRNA from 1 species